AUGCCAGGCAUCAAUACCCUUUUUGCAUUCAACCUGCAAUGGAAGCAAAGAAGACACAAUGCUAAUGUCAGGUUAACUGCAACAUCAACAAUCUGUAUACCAGGAUCUCGUAUGUGCUUACUAUUCAGUAUUCACAAUUCAAAACACUGGAGCUUCACUACUGAAUAUAUGUCAGUAUGUGAUGAUGCGUGCGAUUUUGUUGAACUUAGGGAUGCAAAGUGGCGUCCCACGUCAGCCCACUUCCUUCAGUUGAUAAAAAAACAACAAGAAGUCUGGCCCCUAUUUGCUGUAAUCAGUGCAUUUUAUACUGGUAGCUUAGUUUAG
rnacentral:rRNA from 1 species